rnacentral:lncRNA from 1 species
CAGUUUCUCCCUUUUCCAAUUUAUUUUAAAGUUUUAAAAUUACAAAGACAGCAAAAUUUUCCCGGCACAAGUAACACUUGUUUAAAAAAGGGGGUGGGGGGGGGACGCGCAAGUGCGCGAUUUUUCUAUUUUAUUAAAAAUAAGAGAAAGACAACUGUACAGGUUUUUUCUCCCAGCUCCCGGGUGUGAAACUAAGUACUAGCCCUAGAUAUGUAUAUAUACACAAACACACACAUGCACACAGAUCUAGCUCUGUAAAACUACUUAGCAAAUCCCAAAUCGACUGCAGUAAGUCUUACUAUCCACUGCCCGCCCACUCCCCCUCCCCCUCCCGCAGCUACAACUACUUAUAAUAAAGGACUCAAAAAGAGAUCGGGAGGUUUUAAGUGGCCGCAGCCCCACCAAACCAAGCAAAGACACCUCUUGUACAGGAGGAACAAAAAUCCAGAGGAAAAGAAAAGUCUUCCUAGGACACAAUCCAUCGAUUGCGUGGAAAAACCUAAGUUUCAACAGGGCACACUGAGGCACUUGGCUGACUCCCCACCCUUCCCCUGAAGUUUUCACUCCGGUUUAACAAGAGAAUUUGCUGAAGCCACAAAGAUCCCCCAAUGGCUACAUCCUAGCUGACUGGGAGAAACUAUGGCUUCUCCCAUCCAGCUGUCACUUGGACCCCACUCCCCUUCCCUAAGAAAAUAGGGAGGCCGAAAGCGCAAACUAACAAAAAUGAGAAGGAAACUGGGUUUGGGCCCCCACUGCUCACCACUGGGAGGUGGAAGUCAGCCCGGUGGCGGUUUUUUUCCCCCUCCUUCCUUUGCCGGCUGGCUGCUCCCUACCACCUCUCUCCUGCUGGCCAAAGGUUCUGAAACUCUCACAACGGGUGCCCAACUCAAAGAAAACUCACUCACCCUAAAGAUAUUCCUGCUAACCUCACAAUUCCUGGGUUCCCUCUCAUCUAGCCAGAACAAACUGCCUUGUGUCUUCUCCCCACCCACAUCUACCUUCAUGGCAAACAAGCCAACAAAACACACAAGCCCCCCCCGCAAAUCCCUAACCCCGUAAGUAGGUUAAUAGCAAAACAAAAUAUAAGUACAUUCUCAUCAUUAGAUUGGUUGUUGCUGUCCUUGCACAACUGGUUAAGGAAAAAUGAAUUAUUCUGUAAUUUCUGAAGAAUCCAAAUCCUGUCUCUUAUAAAGUCAGAACAGAAGGGGGCAAAAGGUGGUGGUGAGCAUCAAGAGAGAAAAAAGGAGAAAAUUAUUUACAGAAAAUAGGAGACAGGAGGGAGUGUCCGCAAGAAAAGACUUCAUUGUCACUUCUUCUUGCCGGCCCUCUUGGCACUGGACUUUGCUUUGGGUUUCACUGGUUUGGCCUUUUUGGGCUUGGAUGCCUUGACCGGCUUGGCUUUGACAGUCUUGGGUUUUUUGGCUUUCUUGGGCGUGGCAGCCAGCUUCUUCUUGGCCUUCUUGACCGGGGUGGCUUUGGGUUUCUUGGUUGGGGCUUUGGAGGCAGCCUUCUUGGGCUUGGAUGCCUUCUUUGGCGUGGCUACCUUCUUGAUUUCCUUCUUGGUCUUCUUGAAGGCCACUGACUUCUUGGGUUCGUCGCUCUUGGCUAGCCGGAAGGACCCCGAGGCCCCCACCCCUUUGGUCUGCUUGAGGACACCGGUGGUGACCAGGCGCUUGAUGGACAACUUGAUCUGCGAGUCAGCGUUCUCACCCACCUUGUAGUGGCUCUUGAUAUACUUCUGAAUGGACUGGCGCGAGGAGCCAGCGCGGUUCUUCUCGGCCUGGAUGGCAGCCACGAUCAUGUCUGAAUACUUGGGGUGGCCUGUCUGGUCCGGCUGUUGAAGGCGCCUUCCAAAGGGCCAGCCCUCGUCGGAGGCUGAGCAAAGCCUGCCUCGGGAUCUGCUCCUGAGCCCCUGACUACCGGGCCAGUCUGGAGUGCGGCUCCCGGGGAUGCGAGCGAGGAGUCGCUGCUUUUCCUCCCCGGCUCGGGUGUCGGGAGAGCUCGCCGAGCCGGCUUUGCGAGGCCCAGCCCCGCCGGUCUGUCGCUUGGUCUCGGCACCGGGCUCGGGCUCUGCCUCUGCCUCUGCCUCUGCCUCCGCCUCCUCUGCCUCCCUUUUCCCAGCUCCGCGUCU